CUUUGCUUCCCUGCACUGGUCCUUGCUGCUGAAGAAGCUUUGCCUUCACAACACAAAGAUGUGUUCUCGCAGAUCUUGCCACGACCACGGAUCCUCUUCCCAUGGAUGCCACAGUCAUGAAUCGUCCUGCCACGGCUCUAGCUCAUCCAUUAACUGCGUCAUCGAGGAACCUGUGCCUGUCUGUCCCGUGCCCCAGUGCUGCCCACAACUGCCGCAGUGUUGUGUCCCCGUGCAGCAAUGCUGCCCACCCGUGCAGUGCUGUCAGCAGACCAAGCAGUGCUGCAAGAUCCCUCCACAGUGCCCCAAGUAAGAGCCACAGUGACAAGGAGUGAGCCAAAUCCAAACUCUUACAUUCAUCUCCGUGUAAUGGUGGCUUAUGUGCCAAAAGCCUCUUCUGUUUGCUUCCCAUUUCUCUUCUCUCUUUUCCUAUUUACUUUUAACAACAAACAUCUCUAAAAUGCUCUAAAGAGUCUUCCACUGCAGAACAAUUCUUUUCCUGGGAAUAAUGUCCAUCUUCUCUUUCCUGCUCCAGUCUCAAAGCUGAUAAUGACAAACAAUAAAUCUUAACAUUAGUGAUAUUCA